rnacentral:tRNA from 1 species
GACCGGCUGGUUGAGUUUGGUAGAGCAUGGGACUCUUGAUCUUGGGAUUGUGAGUUCGAAUCCCAUGCCGGACA